AAUGGCUAUGAUUCUAGUCUUUGCUCU
rnacentral:rRNA from 1 species